AAAUUGAAGAGUUUGAUCAUGGCUCAGAUUGAACGCUGGCGGCAGGCCUAACACAUGCAAGUCGAACGGUAACAGGAAGCAGCUUGCUGCUUUGCUGACGAGUGGCGGACGGGUGAGUAAUGUCUGGGAAACUGCCUGAUGGAGGGGGAUAACUACUGGAAACGGUGGCUAAUACCGCAUAACGUCGCAAGACCAAAGAGGGGGACCUUCGGGCCUCUUGCCAUCAGAUGUGCCCAGAUGGGAUUAGCUUGUUGGUGAGGUAACGGCUCACCAAGGCGACGAUCCCUAGCUGGUCUGAGAGGAUGACCAGCCACACUGGAACUGAGACACGGUCCAGACUCCUACGGGAGGCAGCAGUGGGGAAUAUUGCACAAUGGGCGCAAGCCUGAUGCAGCCAUGCCGCGUGUAUGAAGAAGGCCUUCGGGUUGUAAAGUACUUUCAGCGGGGAGGAAGGUGUUGUGGUUAAUAACCACAGCAAUUGACGUUACCCGCAGAAGAAGCACCGGCUAACUCCGUGCCAGCAGCCGCGGUAAUACGGAGGGUGCAAGCGUUAAUCGGAAUUACUGGGCGUAAAGCGCACGCAGGCGGUCUGUCAAGUCGGAUGUGAAAUCCCCGGGCUCAACCUGGGAACUGCAUUCGAAACUGGCAGGCUUGAGUCUUGUAGAGGGGGGUAGAAUUCCAGGUGUAGCGGUGAAAUGCGUAGAGAUCUGGAGGAAUACCGGUGGCGAAGGCGGCCCCCUGGACAAAGACUGACGCUCAGGUGCGAAAGCGUGGGGAGCAAACAGGAUUAGAUACCCUGGUAGUCCACGCCGUAAACGAUGUCUACUUGGAGGUUGUGCCCUUGAGGCGUGGCUUCCGGAGCUAACGCGUUAAGUAGACCGCCUGGGGAGUACGGCCGCAAGGUUAAAACUCAAAUGAAUUGACGGGGGCCCGCACAAGCGGUGGAGCAUGUGGUUUAAUUCGAUGCAACGCGAAGAACCUUACCUGGUCUUGACAUCCACGGAAGUUUUCAGAGAUGAGAAUGUGCCUUCGGGAACCGUGAGACAGGUGCUGCAUGGCUGUCGUCAGCUCGUGUUGUGAAAUGUUGGGUUAAGUCCCGCAACGAGCGCAACCCUUAUCCUUUGUUGCCAGCGAUUAGGUCGGGAACUCAAAGGAGACUGCCAGUGAUAAACUGGAGGAAGGUGGGGAUGACGUCAAGUCAUCAUGGCCCUUACGACCAGGGCUACACACGUGCUACAAUGGCGCAUACAAAGAGAAGCGACCUCGCGAGAGCAAGCGGACCUCAUAAAGUGCGUCGUAGUCCGGAUUGGAGUCUGCAACUCGACUCCAUGAAGUCGGAAUCGCUAGUAAUCGUGGAUCAGAAUGCCACGGUGAAUACGUUCCCGGGCCUUGUACACACCGCCCGUCACACCAUGGGAGUGGGUUGCAAAAGAAGUAGGUAGCUUAACCUUCGGGAGGGCGCUUACCACUUUGUGAUUCAUGACUGGGGUGAAGUCGUAACAAGGUAACCGUAGGGGAACCUGCGGUUGGAUCACCUCCUUACCU
rnacentral:rRNA from 1 species